CCGAGGCAUCCAAAAUUUUUUUUUUUUUUUUCUCCGAUAUACCAAAGCAAGAACAAGAAGACCGAAGCAUCCAAAAUUUUUUUUUUUUUUUCUCCGAUAUACCAAAGCAAGAACAAGAAGACCGAAGUCUCAAAUUUUUUUUUUUUUUUUUUUUUUUUUUUUUUUGAUAUACCGAAGAAUGAACAAGAAGACCGAGGCAUCCAAAAAAUUUUUUUUUUUUUUUCUCCGAUAUACCAAAGCAAGAACAAGAAGACCGAGGCAUCAAAAUUUUUUUUUUUUUUUUUUUUUUUUUUUCGAUAAAUCCAACCGAGAACAAGAAGACCGAGGCAUCCAAAAUUUUUUUUUUUUUUUUUCUUUCCCAUAUACCAGAGAAAGAACAUGAAGACCGAGGCAACCAACAAAAAAUAAUUUUUUUUUUUCUCUUUCCCGGAAUUUUUUUUUUUUUUUU